rnacentral:rRNA from 1 species
AUUGAACGCUGGCGGUAUGCUUAACACAUGCAAGUCGAACGGUAACAGGCCUUCGGGCGCUGACGAGUGGCGGACGGGUGAGUAACGCGUAGGAAUCUGCCUCAUAGUGGGGGACAACGUGUGGAAACGCACGCUAAUACCGCAUACGCCCUACGGGGGAAAGCGGGGGACCUUCGGGCCUCGUGCUAUGAGAUGAGCCUGCGUUAGAUUAGCUAGUUGGUAGGGUAAAGGCCUACCAAGGCGACGAUCUAUAGCUGGUCUGAGAGGACGAUCAGCCACACUGGGACUGAGACACGGCCCAGACUCCUACGGGAGGCAGCAGUGGGGAAUAUUGGACAAUGGGCGCAAGCCUGAUCCAGCAAUACCGCGUGUGUGAAGAAGGCCCUAGGGUUGUAAAGCACUUUCAAUAGGGAGGAAAACCUGUCGGUCAAUACCCGGCAGCUUGACAUUACCUAUACAAGAAGCACCGGCUAACUCCGUGCCAGCAGCCGCGGUAA